rnacentral:tRNA from 1 species
GCCUUCGUGGUGUAAUGGUCAGCACACUGAGCCGGUAUUUCAGAGGUCCGUGGUUCGAUUCUCAGUGAAGGCG